rnacentral:rRNA from 1 species
GAUGAACGCUGGCGGCGUGCCUAAUACAUGCAAGUCGAGCGAACGGACGAGAAGCUUGCUUCUCUGAUGUUAGCGGCGGACGGGUGAGUAACACGUGGAUAACCUACCUAUAAGACUGGGAUAACUUCGGGAAACCGGAGCUAAUACCGGAUAAUAUUUUGAACCGCAUGGUUCAAAAGUGAAAGACGGUCUUGCUGUCACUUAUAGAUGGAUCCGCGCUGCAUUAGCUAGUUGGUAAGGUAACGGCUUACCAAGGCAACGAUGCAUAGCCGACCUGAGAGGGUGAUCGGCCACACUGGAACUGAGACACGGUCCAGACUCCUACGGGAGGCAGCAGUAGGGAAUCUUCCGCAAUGGGCGAAAGCCUGACGGAGCAACGCCGCGGGAGUGAUGAAGGUCGUCGGAUCGUAAAACUCUGUUAUUAGGGAAGAACAUAUGUGUAAGUAACUGUGCACAUCUUGACGGUACCUAAUCAGAAAGCCACGGCUAACUACGUGC